rnacentral:lncRNA from 1 species
GCGGCCGCAUACCAGCCCGGGCGGGGCGCCCGCGGCCCUGCUGCUCGGCGGCCGCCCCGCCCGCCCGCCCUGCCCCGCGCCGCUUCCUGCCUCCGGGUCCCCGCCGCCGCCCGCCGCCCGCCCGCCGCCACCUGCCCCGGCCGCCCCGCUCCAGGGUCGCCCCUCCAGCCGCACUACUCGGAAACUUGGUAACCCCGUCCUCGAGGCAUCUCACACCAGCCUCGGCUGAGAGAGUGAGUUAACAGGCCUAGAGGAGCCACCGAAGUGCCCAAGUCUGUGUCAGCUGUUACAAGUAAGGGCAGAAGAGGACAACUUCACCCGUGCGAGCAAAUGGUGGCCAACCAGUUCAAAAGGCUACGAUUCUGAGCAUGGGGUGGAAUUUGAUGGGUCACACCAAAGAGUAGCCUACAUUGCUAAUGCUAUGCUUCCACCCUUUGCACCUUACCAUCAAGGUAAAAGCUGUGAAAUGCAUUUUUUUUUCUUGGCUUGUAAUGGAUAACUAAGAAGUGUAGAAAGAAGAAGGAGGAUGCCUAUAUAAUUUUAUACACAUAUGUACAUAAAAUGUAUACAUAGAAAUAAAUACAUAUAUAUAAAAUAUGUAUUUAUAUAUACAAUCUGGCUCUGGUAUCAGAACAAUAUCAGCCUCAUAAUAUGAGUUUGAAAGUGUCCUAUUUUGUGUAGAGUUGGUCUUAUUUCUUCCUUAAAUGGAUAGAAGAAAGCACUAGUGAAGCCAUCUAGGCCAUAUAGACCUGGAGUUUACUAUACAUGAUAAAAUAUCCCUUCUUUUAAGAGGUCUUUGUAAACCUCCCAAGUGAGUAUUCAUCAACUUAUUUAAACAUUGACUGAGCUAGAAGUACUGUGUACUUUGAGCACACAAUGAAGCUCUCCAAUCUAAUAGAACCCAACUGACAUGACAUGUGCUUAACUUUGGAGUCACCUGAAAAAGCUCUUUGGCCUUCAGACUGUUUGUUUUAUGGGAUGUUUUGUUAUGUAGUCUUAUAAAUGACAUGCAGAUUGGCUGAAAAUAGCUACCAUUUGACAGUCUAUAAUAGGUUAAAACCAGAUGCCUGGCCAAAAAGCACUUGAAAGAUGCUCACCAUAGUAAUCAUUAAGGAAAUGCAAACCAAACCCAAUAAGAUGUCAUUUCACAUCCAUUCAGAUGGCCACUAUUAAAAAGACAAAACAAGGGCAGCCUGGGUGGCUCAGCGGUUUAGCACCGCCUUUGGCCCAAGGUGUAAUCCUGGAGACCCGGCACUGAGUCCCGCGUCCAGCUCCCUGCAUGGAGCCUGCUUUUCCCUCUGCCUGUGUCUCUGUCUCUGUCUCUCUCUCUCUUUCUUCUCUCUGUGUUUUCUCAUGAAUAAAUAAAUAAAUAAAUCUUUAAAAGAAAAAAAAAAAGACAAAACAAAAACAGAAAAGCCUGAGGGGCAGGCUUCAGACUUAGCAGAUAUCUAAUGGC